GCAAUUGCGGCGGCUACCAUGCAGUCGAGCGGUAGCACAGAGAGCUUGCUCUCGGGUGACGAGCGGCGGACGGGUGAGUAAUGUCUGGGAAACUGCCUGAUGGAGGGGGAUAACUACUGGAAACGGUAGCUAAUACCGCAUAACGUCGCAAGACCAAAGUGGGGGACCUUCGGGCCUCAUGCCAUCAGAUGUGCCCAGAUGGGAUUAGCUAGUAGGUGGGGUAACGGCUCACCUAGGCGACGAUCCCUAGCUGGUCUGAGAGGAUGACCAGCCACACUGGAACUGAGACACGGUCCAGACUCCUACGGGAGGCAGCAGUGGGGAAUAUUGCACAAUGGGCGCAAGCCUGAUGCAGCCAUGCCGCGUGUAUGAAGAAGGCCUUCGGGUUGUAAAGUACUUUCAGCGGGGAGGAAGGCGAUAAGGUUAAUAACCUUGUCGAUUGACGUUACCCGCAGAAGAAGCACCGGCUAACUCCGUGCCAGCAGCCGCGGUAAUACGGAGGGUGCAAGCGUUAAUCGGAAUUACUGGGCGUAAAGCGCACGCAGGCGGUCUGUCAAGUCGGAUGUGAAAUCCCCGGGCUCAACCUGGGAACUGCAUUCGAAACUGGCAGGCUAGAGUCUUGUAGAGGGGGGUAGAAUUCCAGGUGUAGCGGUGAAAUGCGUAGAGAUCUGGAGGAAUACCGGUGGCGAAGGCGGCCCCCUGGACAAAGACUGACGCUCAGGUGCGAAAGCGUGGGGAGCAAACAGGAUUAGAUACCCUGGUAGUCCACGCCGUAAACGAUGUCGAUUUGGAGGUUGUGCCCUUGAGGCGUGGCUUCCGGAGCUAACGCGUUAAAUCGACCGCCUGGGGAGUACGGCCGCAAGGUUAAAACUCAAAUGAAUUGACGGGGGCCCGCACAAGCGGUGGAGCAUGUGGUUUAAUUCGAUGCAACGCGAAGAACCUUACCUGGUCUUGACAUCCACAGAACUUGCCAGAGAUGGCCUUGGUGCCUUCGGGAACUGUGAGACAGGUGCUGCAUGGCUGUCGUCAGCUCGUGUUGUGAAAUGUUGGGUUAAGUCCCGCAACGAGCGCACCCUUAUCCCUUUGUGCCAGCGGUAGCCGGGACUCAAGGAGACUGCCAGUGAUAAACUGGAGGAAGGGUGGGGGAUGACGUCCAGGUCAUCAUGCCCUAACGACAAGGCUACCACGUGCUACCAUGGCGCUAGCAGACAGUCGAACCCUCCGCGAGGAG
rnacentral:rRNA from 1 species